rnacentral:rRNA from 1 species
GAUGAACGCUGGCGGCGUGCUUAACACAUGCAAGUCGAACGGAAAGGCUCCUGCUUGCAGGGGAACUCGAGUGGCGAACGGGUGAGUAACACGUGGGUGAUCUGCCCUGCACUUCGGGAUAAGCCUGGGAAACUGGGUCUAAUACCGGAUAGGACGAUGGUUUGGAUGCCAUUGUGGAAAGUUUUUCGGUGUGGGAUGAGCUCGCGGCCUAUCAGCUUGUUGGUGGGGUAAUGGCCUACCAAGGCGUCGACGGGUAGCCGGCCUGAGAGGGUGUACGGCCACAUUGGGACUGAGAUACGGCCCAGACUCCUACGGGAGGCAGCAGUGGGGAAUAUUGCACAAUGGGCGCAAGCCUGAUGCAGCGACGCCGCGUGGGGGAUGACGGCCUUCGGGUUGUAAACUCCUUUCGCUAGGGACGAAGCGCAAGUGACGGUACCUGGAGAAGAAGCACCGGCUAACUACGUG